GAAGAACCUUACCUGGGCUUGACAUCUACGGAACCUCUGUGAAAGCGAGGGGGUGCCGUUCGGGAGCCGUAAGACAGGUGGUGCACGGUUGUCGUCAGCUCGUGUCGUGAGAUGUUGGGUUAAGUCCCGCAACGAGCGCAACCCUCGUGGUCUGUUGUUACAGGUCGUAAGAUGCUGAACCCUCAGGCCAGACUGCCGGUGACAAACCGGAGGAAGGUGGGGAUGACGUCAAAUCAUCACGCCCCUUAUGUCCAGGGCUACACACGUGUUACAAUGGGAAGAGGACAAUGGGUCGCUUGGCAGCAAUGUCUGGCAAAUCCCCUAAACCUCCCCUCAGUUCGGAUCGUAGUCUGCAACUCGACUACGUGAAGUCGGAAUCGCUAGUAAACGCAGAUCAGCACGCUGCGUUGAAUACGUUCCCGGGCCUUGUACACACCGCCCGUCACACCACGAAAGAGGGUUACGCCCGAAGUCGGUGCGCCAACCGUAAGGAGGCAGCCGCCUAAGGUGGAACUCUUGAUUGGGGUGAAGUCGUAACAAGGUAAGCGUAGAUGA
rnacentral:rRNA from 1 species